AUGAAUUUAAUAGUAUAAGAUUUUCAGUCACCAGAAAAAUUAACUAAAAAAAUGUCUUUGACUCGUUAAUAUAAAAAUAAAUUUAAUUCAUUAAAUAAAGUUAGUUUGAAGUUAUUUUACUACAUAUUUAGUUGAAAUGUUUUAACGUUAGAAAACUAUAUAUAUACAUGUAACUUCUCUUUAGUAUCCACAAAAUAAAAAUCUUUUUUCAAUACAUUUCAUUCAAAAAAAAUUUGUAUGGGUUCUACAAAAACUUUUAUGACUUGCUUACUCGUAGUAACAUUAGCAGUUUCGUUGUCUAAUAAUCUUAACGUUCUGGUCUCAGGUGCAGAGAAAAAAUUAUCAUAUGAGCACUGCAAUGCUUUGUGUUCACCUACAUACGACGGAUGGUCUGAAUGUCAAAGUGACUGUGCUGAAAAGGGCUACUAUUAUGGAGCAUGUGCUUCUCCUUCUCCUAAACUGCCUAAGAAAUGUUGUUGUCAAACGUUUAUAUAAAUUUAUAUAUAUAGGGCUUUUGCAUCUCGUGUUUCUUUAUAAUAAUGUGAUGAAAGUAAAAAAAAUAACUAUUUACUA